GACGAACGCUGGCGGCGUGCUUAACACAUGCAAGUCGAACGGAAAGGCCCUGCUUUUGUGGGGUGCUCGAGUGGCGAACGGGUGAGUAACACGUGAGUAACCUGCCCUUGACUUUGGGAUAACUUCAGGAAACUGGGGCUAAUACCGGAUAGGAGCUCCUGCUGCAUGGUGGGGGUUGGAAAGUUUCGGCGGUUGGGGAUGGACUCGCGGCUUAUCAGCUUGUUGGUUGGGUAGUGGCUUACCAAGGCUUUGACGGGUAGCCGGCCUGAGAGGGUGACCGGGCACAAGGGGACUGAGAGACGGACCAGACGCGAAUAGGAGGCAGUAGGGGGGAAUAUUGCACAGUGGGAGGAAGCCGGAUGAAGAAGCGCCGCGUGCGUGAUGACGGCCUUCGGGUUGAAAAAAGCUUUAGCCUGUGACGAAGCGUGAGUGACGGUAAUGGAUAAAGAAGCACCGGCUAACUACGUG
rnacentral:rRNA from 1 species